rnacentral:rRNA from 1 species
AAGUAGUCAGAGCCCGUUAAAGGGUGAUGGCGUGCCUUUUGUAGAAUGAACCGGCGAGUUACGAUCCCGUGCAAGGUUAAGCAGAAGAUGCGGAGCCGCAGCGAAAGCGAGUCUGAAUAGGGCGCAUGAGUACGUGGUCGUAGACCCGAAACCAGGUGAUCUACCCAUGUCCAGGGUGAAGUUCAGGUAACACUGAAUGGAGGCCCGAACCCACGCACGUUGAAAAGUGCGGGGAUGAGGUGUGGGUAGGGGUGAAAUGCCAAUCGAACCUGGAGAUAGCUGGUUCUCUCCGAAAUAGCUUUAGGGCUAGCCUCAAGGUAAGAGUCUCGGAGGUAGAGCACUGAUUGGACUAGGGGCCCCUACCGGGUUACCGAAUUCAGUCAAACUCCGAAUGCCGAUGACUUAUCCUUGGGAGUCAGACUGCGAGUGAUAAGAUCCGUAGUCGAAAGGGAAACAGCCCAGACCGCCAGCUAAGGUCCCAAAGUAUACGUUAAGUGGAAAAGGAUGUGGAGUUGCUUAGACAACCAGGAUGUUGGCUUAGAAGCAGCCACCAUUUAAAGAGUGCGUAAUAGCUCACUGGUCGAGUGACUCUGCGCCGAAAAUGUACCGGGGCUAAACGUAUCACCGAAGCUGCGGACUGUUCUAACGAACAGUGGUAGGAGAGCGUUCUAAGUGCUGUGAAGUCAGACCGGAAGGACUGGUGGAGCGCUUAGAAGUGAGAAUGCCGGUAUGAGUAGCGAAAGACGGGUGAGAAUCCCGUCCACCGAAUGCCUAAGGUUUCCUGAGGAAGGCUCGUCCGCUCAGGGUUAGUCGGGACCUAAGCCGAGGCCGAAAGGCGUAGGCGAUGGACAACAGGUUGAUAUUCCUGUACCACCUCCUCACCAUUUGAGCAAUGGGGGGACGCAGGAGGAUAGGGUAAGCGCGGUAUUGGAUAUCCGCGUCCAAGCAGUUAGGCUGGGAAAUAGGCAAAUCCGUUUCCCGUGAAGGCUGAGCUGUGAUGGCGAGCGAAAUUUAGUAGCGAAGUUCCUGAUUCCACACUGCCAAGAAAAGCCUCUAGCGAGGUGAGAGGUGCCCGUACCGCAAACCGACACAGGUAGGCGAGGAGAGAAUCCUAAGGUGAUCGAGAGAACUCUCGUUAAGGAACUCGGCAAAAUGACCCCGUAACUUCGGGAGAAGGGGUGCUUC